rnacentral:sRNA from 1 species
UAAGGUGAGUGUGUGACCAUGAGCUUAUCCGAGCGUUUGGGUUGUAUGAUUUGUUUUGUGUGAUGAUAUGUAGGUGUGGUGAAUGUGUUUUUAGGUGAAUUGUUUAAUGAGUG